AUACGGAGGGUGCAAGCGUUGUCCGGAUUUAUUGGGUUUAAAGGGUGCGUAGGCGGAUUUUUAAGUCAGUGGUGAAAUCCUGCAGCUUAACUGUAGAACUGCCAUUGAUACUGGAGAUCUUGAGUACACUAGAAGUAGGCGGAAUUUAUGGUGUAGCGGUGAAAUGCAUAGAUACCAUAAAGAACACCGAUAGCGUAGGCAGCUUACUGGAGUGUAACUGACGCUGAGGCACGAAAGCAUGGGGAGCGAACAGGAUUAGAAACCCCAGUAGUCC
rnacentral:rRNA from 1 species